rnacentral:misc_RNA from 1 species
UCCGAGUUGACCCCGGCAGUCUCCUGCGAGUCCCCGCCAUUACGCGCUGGCAACACAGGACAAGGGUUGCGCUCGUUGCGGGACUUAACCCAACAUCUCACGACACGAACUGACGACAGCCAUGCAACACCUGUGUAGGGCCCUUGCGGACACCGUGUCUCCACGGCUUUUCCCUACAUGUCAAGCCCAGGUAAGGUUCUUCGCGUCGCAUCGAAUUAAUCCGCAUGCUCCGCCGCUUGUGCGGGCCCCCGUCAAUUCCUUUGAGUUUUAGCCUUGCGGCCGUACUCCCCAGGCGGGGCGCUUAAUGCGUUAGCUGCGGCACAGAGAACCGGAGAGGCCCCCCACACCUAGCGCCCAACGUUUACAGCGUGGACUAC